rnacentral:rRNA from 1 species
CCUACGGGUGGCAGCAGUGAGGAAUAUUGGUCAAUGGACGCAAGUCUGAACCAGCGAUGCCGCGUGCAGGAAGACGGCUCUAUGAGUUGUAAACUGCUUUUGUACGAGGGUAAACGCAGAUACGCGUAUCUUUCUGAAAGUAUCGUACGAAUAAGGAUCGGCUAACUCCGUGCUAUCAGACCCGGUAAUCCGGAGGAUUCAAGCGUUAUCCGGUUUUAUUGGGUUUAAAGGGUGCGUAGGCGGUCGGAUAAGUUAGAGGUGAAAUCCCGAGGCUCAACUUCGGACUUGCCUCUGAUACUGUUAGACUAGAGAGUAGUUGAGGUAGGCGGAAUGUAUGGUGUAGCGGUGAAAUGCUUAGAGAUCAUACAGAACACCGAUUGCGAAGGCAGCUUACCAAGCUAAUUCUGACGUUGAGGGACGAAAGCGUGGGGAGCAAACAGGAUUAGAUACCCUUGUAGUC